GACGAACGCUGGCGGCGUGCUUAACACAUGCAAGUCGAACGGAAAGGCCCUGCUCUUGUGGGGUUCUCGAGUGGCGAACGGGUGAGUAACACGUGAGUAACCUGCCCUUGACUUUGGGGUAACUUCAGGAAACUGGGGCUCAUACCCGGUAGGAUCUCCUGCUGCAUAGGGGGGGAUGGAAAGUGUCGGCGGUUGGGGAUGGUCUCGCUGCUUACGAGCUUGUUGGUGGGGUAGUGGCUUACAAAGGCUUUGACGGGUAGGCGGCCUGAGAGGGUGAACGGCCACAUUGGGACUGAGAGAGGGACCAGACUGCUACGGGCGGCAACAGGCGGGAGUCUUGCACAACGGCCGGAAGUCUGUGGCAGAAACGCUGGGUGCGUGAUGCCGUCUUUCGGGGUGUAAACCGCUGUCGCCUGUGACGAAGCCUGCGUGACGGUAAUGGGUAAAGAAGCACCGGCUAACUACGUG
rnacentral:rRNA from 1 species